CGUUUGUGUGUUUGUGUGUGCGUUUGUGCAAAGUAAUGUUCCCACAUAUCUUCUAAACUAAUGAUCUGAUUUUAAUGCGGUUUUCAAUAAAGGGUUUGUGUUCGAUGUGUUCAUGUUCUUAGACAGGUGUCAUGGCUGUAACUCACUAGGGGGCGCCACAAUAUUAGUCCAAACAGCAAAGUAAUGUUCCCACCUACCUUCUAAGUUAAUGAUCCGAUUUUGAUGCGGUUUUCAAUAACGGCUUUGUGUUCGAUGAGUUCAUGUUCUUAGAUAGGUGUCAUGGCUAUUACUCACUAGGGGGCGCCACAAUAUUAGUGCCAAACAAUGUUGCAAUAUAAUCAAAACGUCCGAUUACAAUUCUGUUUUCAUCAGCAAUGUGUACGUGCUUAAUGCAUGUUCCCAAAUAAUAAAAAUUACGCCUGUAAUUCACUAGAGGGCGCUAAAAUAUCGGUGCAAAAUAAUAUUGCAAUAACAUGUUAUAUAGACUAUAAUUCGUAUAUGCUCUCUAAAAAGUCUGAAAUAAAAUUAACAAAAUUAAAAAUUUUGAAAAAACCCCCGACGGUAAAAAUCUUAUUGAAAAAUAAUAAAAUAACUCAAAACCCCCGACUUAACCCAAUUAUAUUGGAAUAACCGUCGGGGGCUGCCUUUUCUGUAUGAAAUUUCAACAAUUAAUUGAGUGUAUUUUAUGUCAUCGUUAAACAUCUACAAUUCUUCAAUAAUUGUAUUCACGACACUAGAAAUUCUUUAGCUGGUUUAAUGGCAGCCCCCGACGGAUAUUCCUAUAUAAUUGGGUUAAGUCGGGGGUUUUGAGUUAUUUUAUUAUUUUUCAAUAAGAUUUUUACCGUCGGGGGUUUUUUCAAAAUUUUUAAUUUUUCUUACUUACUGAUCCUACAGUUGGCUAACUAGCUUUCUUGAUCUUAGUGCACGCAUGUGUUUUGUUCAGUUUUUUAUUUACAAUAGUAGCCAACUUUGCGCAAGCAAAAAGCUUUUCGAUAAUAUCUGUGCCAACAAAAUGAGUAAGGAGUCACAUGGCAUUGGAACUGCAAUUGAGUGAUAAGCAUUCUUGGGUUUUGUCUCCCAAAAAUAAAAUUGCACUUCAUAAAAAUAUAAUCGUCUCAUAAGUAGUGUUUUUCUUAUGCAAGCCAUUAUCCCUAUUAAGCUCUUGAGGAUUCGACCUAACUGGCUUGGCCAUUUUGAGAAUGUACUAAGUGCCUAAAAAUAAAAAUAUUCGAUAUCUAACAUUCCCAUAUUCCAUACUACUUUCAAGAUGGAUCCUUUAUAAUGUUUCUCCAUAGUUGGUAAAUGCGUGUAUAGUGGAUAUACAUGUCAAGUCAACGUCCGUCAGUUUGGGGCGACGCGACACCGGUCAUAGUCUAUAUUUAGACCAGUCCGCCUCAAUAACAAUGUCAACUAUUUUGGGGUCAUUUCACUCGAUACGGCAGUAAGGUCAAAUGAUAAACUUUAUUAUGAUUGUCUCUGGAUAAUGGAAUAUUAUUUGACUGUAUUUGUGUUAAAACAGCUUCCGCUUCUGUUUCUCUCGUUUCCUGAGAGAACUACAUCCCAAAUCUGGAUGAAAAAUAGCCUAUAUGUUAUUUUGAUGUAUAAGUUAUUACUGCCAAGUUUCAUCAAAAACUGUUCCGUCGUUUUUGCGCAUGAAUAAGAAACAAACACAUUCACAAACUUUUGCUUUUAUAAUAUUAGUGUGUUGUGAUGAAAUGUUCCAAUUACUGACAAAAACACAAAUGUUCUUUUGUUCCUGUCUGUGGCACAAACACUUGUAAACUCUGUAUUAGGAAUUUUAGGAAACCUCAAUAGGAAUGGAAUCUUUUAUAGAUGGUGUAAUUAAUCGUUAUCAGAAUUGUUCAUACCUAUUUAUUGUUGCCAAAUAAUAUAAUCUUCACCUAAAUGAUAAACGUAGAGAUCAAAGAAAUGAUAAUAUGAUAAACAAAACUUAUUUUAAAUUACUAGAGCUAUACUCAAGUGACAGAAAUAACUACACAAAUUAAUCUGAUGGUAUCUAUGUUUGAAUGUUUUUAAAUUAACAAAGACGUAAAUCACUGUUCCAUGCAACUGGAUAAGCCUUUGAUAUACGGGCUGUUUAACACUUAAAUGAUUUUUCCAAUCGGACCUGUUUCUGAAAUAAGUGUGGUCUGACAUGUCUGACUGAGGUUGACGACAUGUCAGCAUUAUCUAUCUAUAGUAUAGAUCUAAAUUUCUUCAAAUUGGGGGAGUUUGUUCCACCACUUCUUCUUCUCAGCAAAAACACAUGGGAAGUGGUGAAGGGCAAGCGUUUUGGGGACUGUCUUUUGUAGAUUUGACGUUCAAAAAGUGCUGAUUUUCAGCCUACUUUGAAUAAAUGACUUUUGAUUUUGACUUAUCCAAAUGCUUGUUUUCCUUGCAGAAAUCUACAGGAUCGUAUCUCAGAAGCAGAUGCGCGACCCGCCGGAGGGCGACGUGAUCCGGCCCGACGCCGAGCCCACCGACGUGCGGCCCUCGCACACCGACAACGUGCGCAAGCAGUGCUGCCAGUAGGCCGUACACACCGAGCAAAGUCCAGUUUACGUCGGAGCCGGAAAGAGAGAUGCGGCUGGAGAUAUAAAUGCAAUCAUUACGAAUCAUUCCCAGACAAUGGUGUUUACCAACAUAAUAACUAGGUUGCCAGACCCAAAAUAUACUGUCUAACACUAAAGAUGAAAUCUUAUAACCACGAAGUUUGCCAUAAGUUGUCUAUGGCACGAUAUGUAUUUGUUAUCUGGCAACACUAACACAAAAACGGUUAAGAGUGGCUCAUGUAGAUAGCUUUGUGUAAUUAUUGAUAUUUAGUGUCCGAACGAAUAAAGUAAAAAAUAUAUAAUAAUUAUCGUAACGUGAAGAGACGAUUCAAUAUAACACAACUUAGUAAAGGAACUAUGCUUCGGUUAUAGAAAGCACCCGAGUUUAUUAAUUUUGGCGCUAGACACACUAUACCUGUGUAAUUUAUACCUGAAUUUAUCUUUUUUUAUUUAGGGGUAAACCAUAUUUUCGUUAGUAGAUAAUUCAUGUUAUAUGCUAUUAUUUAUUUAGUCAAAUAAAUAAUGAAGAAAAGUUACUAAAAGCCGUUAUAAUUUAUAUAUUUUUUCCAUAGUAUUAGGCUUAAAUUCCUUAUAAAAUGAGCAAUAAUCGGGCUGGUAAACGGAAUUCGCGUAAAGUUCACUGUUUAAUAGCACACAAAUCAUAGCUUCAUAAUUAAAGUAUGUCUAAUUGUUUUGUAAUACACUAUAGCUGGUAGUUUUUACUAAGUAACGAGAUAGCUUUUUUAAAAGGGAUACCUUUUUUCUUUUACGAAUACGUGCCUUCUAUGGAAACGGCGUGACAUGUACAUUUUAUUGAAGCUUUUAUUGUUUAUUUUUGCGUCAUGUUGAAGUUAAUGUUUCGGACGAGGCCGGACGGUCUCCGGCGCUAGUCUGUAAGCUCGCUUGAUGUUCGUCUCGUUGGGAUAUAUAUUGUUAACUGCCCUCUAUUCGCUACGAGAACACGGCAUGUGUUCGGGCCCCGUGCCAUCACUAUUGACGGUCGGCGAAUGUCCUAACAUCGGCACUAAGGCCUCUGGCCGGUUUAUUUCUCAAGAGAGGAUGCGGUCUUUGUUGUAUCUAAGAAAUAUGUUAUUGUAUUAUGGUCUUCAAUAUGCAUGAUUAUUUUUUUAGUGCCUACCUGUAAUUACUUUAUUAAAGACAAAGAUAAUAAAAUAUAAUGUAAAUUU
rnacentral:lncRNA from 1 species